GCUAAACCGUUAUCUCGCGCGUCCGUGCGACAGCAGUGCUCCCGAACGAUCCCUAAAUAUUCCUCCUUUUACGCCUUCCGCUUCAGAAGCGCUACGGGAAGCAACGCCUGAUACCCACACCGCGGCCCGGCCAACAUGAGGCCCCAAACACCUGAUAACAUCUAAGAAGAGUCGGAUCCCAAACAUGUUUCCAGGACAUUAGCUUUGAACAAACCUUGGCUGACGCCGGCAUCAAUAACCCCUACCUUCGAUGAUUUAUAGAAUAAACACCUAUUAUUCACCUGCCACUCACCGUUGAUCGAACCUUACUCUGGAUUCCUGAAGGAACACGUACCCUAGAUCCCUUUCCAAUAUAAGCCCCUAGCCCCAAGCGAGGAAGAGACUCACUCUCCUUUCCUUUCUGAGUCUCCCAGACACUCUGUCUGCUAAACUCUGUCACUCACGCUAUUCAAUAAACUCUGCUUUUACUUUC